AGCUAAGCCACUGCUGUGCUGCCUUCCCAGCUAGUUCUGCAAACCAGCUUCAAGGCCAGGUGAGCCCAGCCCAGCAAAGAAUGGCUUGGAACUGGGAAGUCGAGCAGCGCUCCCUUUCCAGUGUGCCUGCUGAUGCUGGUGAGUCUGCACCGCUCCUGUCGUCCAUCCUGAAGUGCAGCUGAGGGCAUUUCUAACUGUAAUCAUGCUGCCUGGAUCACAAGCAAUAUUGGAGUUUGUUAAACAAAUACAUUCAUCACAGGACUUGAAUUUUUCUUAGGUGGUUCUGCCUUCCUCCUUGUCCCUCUGGUGCUAACAUUGACUUGGCAGCAGUGAUGUACCUCGGAAAYGAUGGUUUCGUGUCGUCAGGAUGGAUGGGCACGGGGCCAUCAUCUCCCCAGCCCUGCUGGCGCUUCUCCAACGUGAGCCUCUCCUGGAGCCAGCGUUGUCUCCCAGCCYGUGGUCAGCCAGUUCUUGGGGCAGCUCUGCAACGCUCCAGAAAUC